GGGAUCUGGAGAGUGAGCUGCAUUCAGGGGAUCUCCGUGUUUGAGAGUGAGGGGUUGCGUCACUUGAGUGGGUUGAGUCACUGACGUGGGUUGGCGCCCACCCUGUGCUGUGGCGGGGAUCUUUGUGGGCGAUACUCGGCCUUGUCUCAGGAUGGACCUGAGCCCUAGGACCAUGCCCCAAGGACCAAGCUCAUUGCUGUCCCCAGUC